UACGGGGGGGGCAAGCGUUGUUCGGAAUUACUGGGCGUAAAGGGCGCGUAGGCGGCCUGCUAAGUCGGACGUGAAAUCCCUCGGCUCAACCGAGGAACUGCGUCCGAUACUGGUGGGCUUGAAUUCGGGAGAGGGAUGCGGAAUUCCAGGUGUAGCGGUGAAAUGCGUAGAUAUCUGGAGGAACACCGGUGGCGAAGGCGGCAUCCUGGACCGAGAUUGACGCUGAGGCGCGAAAGCCAGGGGAGCAAACGGG
rnacentral:rRNA from 1 species